rnacentral:rRNA from 1 species
ACGCUCGACACCUACGGGAGGCAGCGGUCGGGAAUAUUGCGCAAUGGAGGGAACUCUGACGCAGUGACGCCGCGUAUAGGAAGAAGGUUUUCGGAUUGUAAACUAUUGUCGUUAGGGAAGAGAAAGGACAGUACCUAAGGAGGAAGCUCCGGCUAACUACGUGCUAGCAGCCGCGGUAAUCUGAGCGGGCUGGCAAGGC